UACAGUCUAUGAUGUUCACACAAGACAAAAUUGCCUAAUAGUGCAAUUUUAAUUUCUUAGAAUGUAUCCCCAUUGUUAAGCAAUGCACGACUGUAUUCACACUUAUAUUUCCUGGUAUCUUCCAACAGUGCUUACUUAUGUCUGGUGUGGCCCACAUAAAAUUGAUCAAAUGACAAAAGAGUGAUACUCUUAAAAUAAGAGAAGAAUGGGUGAAUGUGGCUGGAAGAUAGAAGAGGCACCUGCUGGAGUUUAAAGCAUUUGCCAUCCCGAGUUUACUACGUGACACUCCGUUUUUCUUUGGACGUUUUAAGGUUGCACUUGCAAAAAGUAAUGGCAGGAUACAUCCAUGUAAUCAGUGCCAAAGGACACCCAGGAACUGGAGAAACUGCCGCGUCUUUGUUCUAUUUUCUUUUUUCCACGCAUUGACAAAAUUUUAAAACUCAUAUUAAAUAAUGUGGACCUUGACUGUACAGUGACUGCAUAAAUAUCAAAGCUAAACCACCAACAUCCCAGCUCCUAACACCAAGAAAAUUGUGCAUCUCCAUUUUGACCAAUGUGUGCUUACAAGGAAAAAAUGUUCUCACUGAAGUCAGAAUAUACUAGAGAAGAUAUUGGGGGUAUUCAAGAAUGUGACCAAAUAGUCGCUAUAGCUUAAGUAUUAUCCUCUGUGUAGUAACAAAGUCAAAACCAGGUGUCUAGGUGCAUGUGUGUGUGCAGAGAGGAGAGACAGAGAUUACACACUGGAACACACAUCUGCACCCUUCUAUUUCCCUCAGAGCAAUGUGAUGGCAUGUUCAUCUGAACAAAUUAAUAUUUCUACUAUAAUUGAUUUGUUUGGUGGAAACACCAAGUUCACCUGCUAGUGGUGACUAAAAAGAUGGAAAGACUUGAAGGAAGAGCAAAGGGUGAGAUUGCAUGUGCGGCAUCUAAGGGGCAUCUACACUGGAGCCAGCAGACCUGGCUCAGAACCCAAACUUUCAUUCAUUGCUCAAAUCACGCACCUAUCUAAAAGAAAAAGGAUAAGAGUCAGCAUUUUGCUCAUUCACAGGCUCAUUCACAUGCUGGCACGCAGUAAGCACACCAGAAAUGGUAGCUAUUAUUUUGUAAAGAGGGUAAGUUAUGUGGAAAAGCUAUGUGAAAAAUAAGGCAUCGUAUAAGCAAAUAGCAGGGUGUGACCAACAUCAAAGCAGGAGGUGAGAAGGAAAAGACUUCCCAGGAAGAUGCAAGUGCCACUCCAUCUGAGUGUCGGGGACAAAUCAAGAAAUGUAAAGAUGUUCCGUUAUGCAUCAUAUUUUGGCCCCCUUCUGUUGCCAUCCCAGGUCACUUUUGAUUAAACUUGGUUCAGAUUUUCUUGCAAAAGUAUCUAAGGUCUUCAAGCAUUGCUUGGCUCAGCAUCCAUACUUGGGCUAGUUAGUGUCCAGGUACUUGAGACCUUCUGCUAACCAGCUUCUCCACACCACUUUGGCAAGAUUGAGGCUUUGUGGGCCAUCUCCCUACAUACAUUACAAACUACAAAUGGAGGUUUUAUUUUUUAGUUUCUGCCAAUCACACACAAAACAUUUAAUACAUAUUCGUGUAAAGGAUGAUGCAGUGAAUGACAAGGGCUUACUACAUCACAAACACAAAAUUAAUUACUUUUUCCUUGAAUCACAGUAGCAUAUAUAGAAACUCAUAGGCUGGGCGUGGUGGCUCACGCCUGUAAUCCCAGCACUUUGAGAGGCCAAGGUGGGCGGAUCACCUGGGGUCAGGAGUUUGAGACCAGUAUGGCCAACUUGGUGAAACCCCACCUCUACUAAAAAUACAAAAAUUAGCCGGGCAUCCCAGCUACUUGGGAGGCUGAGGCAGGAAAAUUGCUUGAACCUGAGAGGGGGAAGUUGCAGUGAGCCAAGAUCAUGCCAUUGCACUCCAGCCUGGGCGACAGAGCAAGACUCCAU
rnacentral:lncRNA from 10 species